AGCNACGCCGCGUGAGCGAUGAAGGCCUUCGGGUUGUAAAGCUCUGUGGGGAGGAAAGAAUAAGUUCAGGCCAAUACCCUGAAUGAUGACGGUACCUCCUUAGCAAGCACCGGCUAACUCUGUGCCAGCAGCCGCGGUAAGACAGAGGGUGCAAACGUUGUUCGGAUUUACUGGGCGUAAAGCGCGUGUAGGCGGCUUCGCAAGUUGGAUGUGAAAGCCCACGGCUCAACCGUGGAAGCGCAUCCAAAACUGCGUCGCUCGAGUCUCGGAGAGGAAGGUGGAAUGCUUGGUGUANAGGUGAAAUUCGUAGAUAUCAAGCAGAACACCUGCGGCGAAGGCGGCCUUCUGGACGAUGACUGACGCUGAGACGCGAAAGCGUGGGGAGCAAACAGGAUUAGAUACCCUGGUAGUCCACGCCGUAAACGAUNAGUGCUAGGUGUCACGGGCUUUGACCCUCGUGGUGCCGUAGCUAACGCAAUAAGCACUCCGCCUGGGGAGUACGGUCGCAAGACUA
rnacentral:rRNA from 1 species